GCGGACGGGUGAGUAAUGCUUGGGAACUUGCCUUUGCGAGGGGGAUAACAGUUGGAAACGACUGCUAAUACCGCAUAAUGUCUUCGGACCAAACGGGGCUUCGGCUCCGGCGCAAAGAGAGGCCCAAGUGAGAUUAGCUAGUUGGUAAGGUAACGGCUUACCAAGGCGACGAUCUCUAGCUGUUCUGAGAGGAAGAUCAGCCACACUGGGACUGAGACACGGCCCAGACUCCUACGGGAGGCAGCAGUGGGGAAUAUUGCACAAUGGGGGAAACCCUGAUGCAGCCAUGCCGCGUGUGUGAAGAAGGCCUUCGGGUUGUAAAGCACUUU
rnacentral:rRNA from 1 species